GUGUGUGAACCUGUAUCCUAGCAGUAUGGUUUUAGGUGGUGGGUACGAAAACAUUAAAUGGUCCUUAAUCACUUAGUGAAAAGAUGUUCUUUUUUCUGUCUUUCAACUUGAAAGGCUCUGUUUGGUGCUAACAUGUCCUUUAUUGCUUUCGAACACAUUCUUACUGGCUUUUAACAAAGCAGGCUUUAGAGCUUUUAGCAGCUAAUAAUAUCCAGCUGACUUCAACACUAACAGUGCAUAUAUAUAUUGCAUACAUAUAUUUUUUUUUUCAUAGUGGGAAUUGAACUCAUGGCUUUGCAUGUUAUAAGCAAGCUUUACUACUUCAUAUCCCCACACUUUUAAAAUGUUUAUUCUGUGACAACAUCUCAAUUUGCUCAUGUGGGCCUUGAUUUUGCUGCAUGGCUCCAGCAACCCUUGAACUAGGGGUCCCCCUGUCUCAGCCUCCUAAGCAGCUGGGGUUACAAGCCUGUACUGCUAGGCUCAACUAACAGUGUCUUAUUUUCAUUGAGUCUUUAACUCUAGCUACAGCAAGUGAUAUUAGUCUUCUAUCAUACUUCUAUUUUUCAGUGGUUGUGCAGCCCAGGCUCAUUCAGAACUUGGCAUGUAGUUUGGGAUGACCGUGAACUCCUGAUCUUCUGCGUCCACCUCUCAAAUACUGGGAGUACAGCUGUAUGCCACCACACCCAACUUCUGUUUUCUGUUCUUGACAUGUUCUGAUUUGUAAACAGGUGAGACAGCUGGGCAGGGUAGUGUGGAUCUGUAACCUCAGCACUUGGGGCACUCAGGACAAGGAGGAUCGCUAGUUUAAGGCAGCCUGCACUACAUAGCAAAAGCUUGUUGAGAAUGCUCUAAGGCUGAAAGUAUGGCUCGGUGAUGGAAUGCCUGCCUAGCUUGCACAAGGCCCUGUAAAGGAGGAGUUCAAAAAAGAAACUCAGGUCCAGCAAGAGUGGGUCUGCAGCGAUUGGGGUUUAGGUAAAUAUCCAAAAGAAUGGGUGGCGGCUUUCAGGAAGGGGCUGGGGGUUCUCAACUAGAAGUGGCAACUUUUUUAGCGGGUGGCUGUUUUGCUCAGUGAACUCAGGCUCUCUGGCUUCUAUGGAGGUCCGCCUCAAGGCUCUAGGCCAGGAAACCUUUAGGUCGUUUUCACUUCUUUUGUUUCAUGUAGGCCUGGAGAUAUCUUACAUUUAGUUCUCGGCCACGGCUUGCAGGUCUCCCACCCACACUGUGAGAACUCCCAGGCCUACCUUAGAUGAUCUCUUCCGCUUCUCGGCUUCGGAUCUCUUCUGCUUCUCGGCUUCCUGUAUGCUGAUUUUCUUGGAUUUCUUGUUCAGUGCUUCAAAGAAGGGCAGAAAGAGCAAAGCCAGAUGUUUCUGGGGUCCAGGUUGUGAAGAGGGAGGGGUAGAGGGGGCUCUGGGAAGUCUCGGAGUGGAAGAGAGAAAGGGACUUCGGGAUGGAUCACAGUAUGGGAAUCAAGCCAACAGGUUCUUAUUAGCCUGGCUUCAGACCUAAAGAGCAGUGUGCUCUGAGAGGGGGCAGAGAGGAAGUCCGAAAGGGACCUAGGACUGUCUGUGACAUCUGUUAGAGACCUGGACUUGGUCUUUUGACCUUGCUAGCCCUUGAUCACCACAGGUACCUUUAGCCUUGCAGGUGCAAGUGCAUUGUGAGUCUCUGGAAAUGGACUCAGUCUUCUGUUACUGGACACAUCUGUGUUAUCUAUGGUUUUGUUUAUUUAUUUAUUUUAAAUUCUCGGAGCUCAGAGCCAGGUUCGCCUGACUUGAGUCCAUGUAACAGCUGUGUGAUCUCCCUGACAAUCAAUUUUCCUCAUCUACAAAAAGGACUCCAUUGUGAGUAAAGUAUGUUAGUAAAACAAAAAGUCUGACAUGGGGCUAGAGAGAUGACUUAGCUGUUAAGAGCACUUGGUGCACUUUCAGAGGACCCAGAUUUGUUUCCCAGCACCCACAAGGUGACUCACAACUGUCUAUAACUCCAGUUUCAGGGGCUCUUCUAGAUUCUUCUGGCCUCUGAGGGUACCAGGACUGCACAUAGUGCCUAGACAUACAUGAAGGCAGAGUAACCAUCUACAUAAAAACCUACAGUUCUCAACCUGUGGGUUGCGACCACUUUGGCAAACCUCCAUCUCCAAGAAUAUUUGCAUUAAGAUUCAUAACAGUAGCAAAAUCACCGUCAUGAAGUAGCAACAAAGGUAAUUUUAUGGUUGGGGGUCAGCACAUCAUGAAGAACCGCAGCAUUAGGAAGGUUGAGAACCACUGCUCUAGACCACCUUCCUGUGCUCAGUGAAAUGCAACUCAACAAAGAGUUGUGAGCUCACAUGUAUAAUUUGCCUGUUUGAAUUCUGGCUCUGGCCAUUAGGAACUGAUGUCAGUAAGCUCCAGUUUCAUCAGCGGUGAAAUAUAAGGAAAACCAAGAGCUGCCUCACGGAACCUAUGCAUGUCCCCUUUUAUUUUGGUUACAGGAACUGAAUCUCGACGUCUUGCAUGCUAAGCAUGUGCUCUGCCCUUGUGCUCAUCCUGAGCCUAUGCCCUUUACGAUCAGGUGAGAUCAAACCAGGAGAUGGCUAGUUAAUGCCAGACUUCGAUGCUCCUUGUAACUUCCCAUCCUAUGGCAAGACUGGUCUAUUGCAGACUUAGUUCUAGUCCAUGGUUUUCCUAAGGUUUGUUUUGUUGGGGAGCUUUGGGAUUCAUUAAGUUUUACAAAUGCUAAGUUAAACUAAAUCCAGCAGCAUCUUGACUUGAGACCUCUUCAGAUCUCUGACACACUCAACUUGGUGGCAUGCAGAGCUCUCCCAAACCCAGGACACUGUAUUUCCCUAGGAAUGAGCAAGAAAGAACCAUAGCUAAGCUGCUGGCAGCCUGGGCAACAGGCUUGACAUACUGUACCCGCUCUCAUGGAUCAGAGCCUAGGGGCUGGGUCCCAGGCCAGGCUACUUACCCACAACAGAAACAGAAGAGAAAUCCUUGCAAUUCAUGGAGGAGUUGCUACUCAGACUCCUGUCAUCUCUGAGCGUCUCCUUGGGUACCAGGUGGCUGUAGACAGCAAGGAAGCAUAGGAAGCCCACUAGAGUGGCCAGGAGUAGGCGAGUGACAUCCAUCCUGAGAAGCCUAAAUUGGACAGAGAAGCUGGUUGGUGGUGGGUUCGGAGAGAAGAUGGUGGUAGGAGGAUGUGCCUUUGGGCUGGCCGUCUGACUCUGCUAUAAAAGUAUCUCAGCAGGGCAGGAAGUCUGGCAAGGCUGAGGGCAGGGAUGUCGAUAUAGGGAGAUGACAGAAAAGGAGAGAUGGGGAGAAGAGAGAAAGAGGAGGAAGGGAGGGAGAUUGAAAGAGCACAAGAAUGCAUUGUGUUGGUCUGUGCUGUCCAGAGGGCGGGGUACUGACUCUUUCUGUUUCUUUUCUUUUUUUUCUGUAUAAGCAGCAGUCCCAGGGGACCUUAGGCCUAAGCAGAGCUGUUGAAAGUGCCCCCUGGCCCCCCAGGAGUGCCUCACAGUGGCAGAGGUCUUACCAAGGUGAAGAAAGUACAAGUUAAAGGUCAGUGAGAGGGAUGAGGGAUGAAGGUCCCUGAAGACAAGUGGAUGCCAUCUCAUACACCAGAUUCCCUGCUGGCCCAGAGGGAACAGAUGCAGGAGCAGCGUUCUGAGGCGUGGUAUCAGGAGGACACAUUCUGCUGAGGUUGGGAAAGAAACAUUUAAAGGAAGAAGAGACUGACGAAAAGAAGCCCUGGCCAUAAAUUUUGCUUGCUUCUCAAGACUGUUUCCUUAAGAGUGGGUCUGAAGAGAGGCAAUUCAAGGCACUGAGCCCAGCAUGCUGAGGGAUUUUGAAAACCAGCCUAAGCCAUGACUGAUGGGGAACAUUAGAAAGUCAAGGUCCACUAAGCAUGAGGAAUUUGUCAACGUUUGAGCUUGUAGAUCUGCUGUCAUUGGUUAGCCCAAUCCUAGAAGUUAGUGCUGAGCAAUUAGCCACUAACCAAAAGCUUACAACCACCCUCGGCUGAGCUACCCUCGCUGCUGCUUGGACAAGUGGAUACCACUUCAACAAACCUCCAUUCUGUCCUGUCCCAUCCAUUCACAUAGUGGUUCCCGGCCCUGC